CCUGAGUACGACGGAGCACGUGAAAUUCCGUCGGAAUCUGGGAGGACCAUCUCCUAAGGCUAAAUACUCUCUAGUGACCGAUAGUGAACCAGUACCGUGAGGGAAAGGUGAAAAGUACCCCGGAAGGGGAGUGAAAGAGAACUUGAAACCGUGUGCUUACAAGUAGUCAGAGCCCGUUAAUGGGUGAUGGCGUGCCUUUUGUAGAAUGAACCGGCGAGUUACGAUCUGAUGCAAGGUUAAGCAGAAAAUGUGGAGCCGUAGCGAAAGCGAGUCUGAAUAGGGCGAAUGAGUAUUUGGUCGUAGACCCGAAACCAGGUGAUCUACCCUUGGUCAGGUUGAAGUUCAGGUAACACUGAAUGGAGGACCGAACCGACUUACGUUGAAAAGUGAGCGGAUGAACUGAGGGUAGCGGAGAAAUUCCAAUCGAACUUGGAGAUAGCUGGUUCUCUCCGAAAUAGCUUUAGGGCUAGCCUCAAGUGAUGAUUAUUGGAGGUAGAGCACUGUUUGGACGAGGGGCCCCUCUCGGGUUACCGAAUUCAGACAAACUCCGAAUGCCAAAUAAUUUAACUUGGGAGUCAGAAUGUGGGUGAUAAGGUCCAUAUUCGAAAGGGAAACAGCCCAGACCACCAGCUAAGGUCCCAAAAUAUAUGUUAAGUGGAAAAGGAUGUGGCGUUGCCCAGACAACUAGGAUGUUGGCUUAGAAGCAGCCAUCAUUUAAAGAGUGCGUAAUAGCUCACUAGUCGAGUGACACUGCGCCGAAAAUGUACCGGGGCUAAACAUAUUACCGAAGCUGUGGAUUGUCCUUUGGACAAUGGUAGGAGAGCGUUCUAAGGGCGUUGAAGCAUGAUCGCAAGGACAUGUGGAGCGCUUAGAAGUGAGAAUGCCGGUGUGAGUAGCGAAAGACGGGUGAGAAUCCCGUCCACCGAUUGACUAAGGUUUCCAGAGGAAGGCUCGUCCGCUCUGGGUUAGUCGGGUCCUAAGCUGAGGCCGACAGGCGUAGGCGAUGGAUAACAGGUUGAUAUUCCUGUACCACCAUUAUUCGUUUUAAGCGAUGGGGGGACGCAGUAGGAUAGGCGAAGCGUGCUGUUGGAGUGCACGUCCAAGCAGUGAG
rnacentral:rRNA from 1 species